rnacentral:rRNA from 1 species
GACGAACGCUGGCGGCGUGCUUAACACAUGCAAGUCGAACGGAAAGGCCUCUUUCGGGGGGUACUCGAGUGGCGAACGGGUGAGUAACACGUGAGUAACCUGCCCUUGACUUUGGGAUAACUUCAGGAAACUGGGGCUAAUACCGGAUAGGAGCUCCUGCUGCAUGGUGGGGGUUGGAAAGUUUCGGCGGUUGGGGAUGGACUCGCGGCUUAUCAGCUUGUUGGUGGGGUAGUGGCUUACCAAGGCUUUGACGGGUAGCCGGCCUGAGAGGGUGACCGGCCACAUUGGGACUGAGAUACGGCCCAGACUUCUACGGGAGGCAGCAGUGGGGAAUAUUGCACAAUGGGUGGAAGCCUGAUGCAGCAACGCCGUGUGCGGGAUGACGGCCUUCGGGUUGUAAACCGCUUUCGCUCAUGACGAAGCUUUGUGUGACGGUAGUGGGUAAAGAAGCACCGGCUAACUACGUG